GUCUACUACUUUCGAAUGUUCCGUGUGUUUGAUUGCGAAUUUUAAGCGUUAAAUAUGCCGAAAGUCAGAAAAAGUGAUGCCCGGAGUAUUAUUCUAAAGGUGAAAUCAUUUUUUGAAAAAGAAACUCGGCGCAGGCUCCUAUCAUUCCGUUUAAUCAAUUAAACAAACGGAUUUCGGCUGCAACAGGUGUAAGUCAAGGGCUAAUUUCAAAAAUUGUCAAAGAGGGCGAAGCAGCAAAAAAAACUGAUACCAAAAUUCGCACAGUAGGCAAGCAGAGAAUACGAAAAAGUGGAUUUGUUCAUGUAGAUGAUUUUGAUAUGGGAGUUAUCAGACAAAAAGUUCAUGAAUUUUAUUCUGCCAAUAAAGAGAUUCCUAACAUAAAAAAAACUUCUAGAAAUAUUAAAGACAGAAACAAAUUACACAGGACAGCGAGAAACUCUUCGCAAGCUACUUUACAAGUUAGGAUUCUGUUUUAAAAAAACUAAGUCCAAUCGUAAAGUUCUAAUGGAGCGUAAUGAAGUAUCGGCUUGGAGAGCAAGGUACUUGCGUGAAGUGAAUAAAAAUAAUAAAUUACCCAACCCCCGGCCUUUGAUUUAUUUAGAUGAAACUUAUAUUCACUCUUCACAUACAUCCAUCAAUUAUUGUAAUGGAUAAUGCUCCUUAUCACUGUGUUUGCGUGAAUAAAGUCCCAAAUUCAAACGAUUUAAAAAAGAUAUGCAGUUAUGGCUUAGGCAAAACAAAAUCGAGUAUGGAGAAGAUUUAACUAAUCCCCAGAUGUUAAAAAUAAUUAAAAGAAAGAAACCUGAGCCCAUAUACGAGACUGAAAGGAUUUUGGCAGAAAAUAGUCACAGGUGCUCGUAUUUACCCCCCUCCCCCCCUCCCCUAUCACCGUGACCUUAAUCCAAUUGAAUUAAUAUGGAGCACAAUGAGAAGAAACGUGGCCAGCGUAAACAUUGAUCACAAAAAUGAUGAGAUCUCUCGCCUGGUAAUAAAAUAAUUUGAAGCUAUUUCAGUUCAUGAGUGAAAACAGCAUUGUAAAUAUGUUCGUAGGCUAGAAAGAGAGUAUUUAAAACAGGACUCGUAUUUAGAUGAACCUUUCAUAACAAAUGUGACAAGUGACAGUGAAAUUGAGAGUGAUUCUGAUAGUGAUGAGUGCGGCAUGGAAGUGGAAGGGAUGACGUUGCACAUUCUUCAAAGACUGUGUUUGACCACAAUUAAUGCAAACGUGAUUUUCAAUAAAUCCUUUAAAAAAUAA